rnacentral:rRNA from 1 species
GGGAUCCGAUUUUAGCAUGGAAUAAUAAAAUAGGACGUGUGGUUCUAUUUUGUUGGUUUCUAGGACCGCCGUAAUGAUUAAUAGGGACAGUCGGGGGCAUCAGUAUUCAAUUGUCAGAGGUGAAAUUCUUGGAUUUAUUGAAGACUAACUACUGCGAAAGCAUUUGCCAAGGAUGUUUUCAUUAAUCAGGAACGAAAGUUAGGGGAUCGAAGACGAUCAGAUACCGUCGUAGUCUUAACCAUAAACUAUGCCGACUAGGGAUCGGACGGUGUUAUUUUUUGACCCGUUCGGCACCUUACGAGAAAUCAAAGUGCUUGGGCUCCAGGGGGAGUAUGGUCGCAAGGCUGAAACUUAAAGGAAUUGACGGAAGGGCACCACCAGGAGUGGAGCCUGCGGCUUAAUUUGACUCAACACGGGGAAACUCACCAGGUCCAGAAAUCUAGA